AGUGAACGCUGGCGGUAGGCCUAACACAUGCAAGUCGAACGGCAGCACAGUAAGAGCUUGCUCUUACGGGUGGCGAGUGGCGGACGGGUGAGGAAUACAUCGGAAUCUACUUUUUCGUGGGGGAUAACGUAGGGAAACUUACGCUAAUACCGCAUACGACCUACGGGUGAAAGCAGGGGAUAUUCGGACCUUGCGCGAUUGAAUGAGCCGAUGUCGGAUUAGCUAGUUGGCGGGGUAAAGGCCCACCAAGGCGACGAUCCGUAGCUGGUCUGAGAGGAUGAUCGGCCACACUAGAACUGAGACACGGUCCAGACUCCUACGGGAGGCAGCAGUGGGGAAUAUUGGACAAUGGGCGCAAGCCUGAUCCAGCCAUACCGCGUGUGUGAAGAAGGCCUUCGGGUUGUAAAGCCCUUUUGUUGGGAAAGAAAAGCAGCAGGUUAAUACCCCGCUGUUCUGACGGUACCCAAAGAAUAAGCACCGGCUAACUUCGUG
rnacentral:rRNA from 1 species